CAGAGUUCUCGCCCUCGCGGGUAGAUCUCCCACCCACUGUUAUUGCUACUGUGUUGCUUUGGCGGGCUGCUAGGCCCAGCCUGGCCGCCGGCUCCGGCUGGCGCGCGCCCGCCAGAGGAUUCAAAACUCUGAUAAUUAUGUCGUCUGAGUACUAUUAUAAAUAGUUA
rnacentral:misc_RNA from 1 species